UUGUGGUAAAGACUGCAAUCCUUUAUACUGUAGUGUGGGUGGUGCUGACGCUUGAUGAGUAAUGUGAUCCACUUGUGGGGGGAGUGAUUGAAUACAACGAGGGGUAUUGAGAGGAGAUAAAUGAGAUGUGAGGGAAGAAGGGAGAAGGCUGGAAGCAGGUGCAGAAAACUGGAGAGAAGCUGGUUGACUGUGAACUGGAGCUGGAGAAGCGCACCGUGGCGGGUGGGUGCUGUUCGUAGCUUAUAGUGCUGCCGGCAGCGAAGACAGUUGAGCAGGGGAGCUUCGUCGUGCUGGCUAGGAGGGGAGGCUGGGUGCCUCCUUUAGACAGCGAUAGGGACCGGGGAUUAGAGUGUGCCUUGCCUGCGGGCCUAAGCUCCCUGCGACAUCC